GGGUUUCCCCCUUCACUCUUUCCUUUCCUUUUCCCUCCUUCUUUCCGCCUCCCACUCUCCUUUCCCAUCUCACUCCGCUCCCUUCCACUCGCCGCCUCACGCCGCUCCCACUCACCCCCUUUCCCUCCUCCUUCUCCGCCCACGUUCCUCUCCACUCACCUUUGUCCCCCACGCCUCUGUCUCUCCAUCCCACUCUGUCCCACGUUCCCCUCUCUCCUACGCUCCUCUUUCCCUUCUCUUAAACCCUAUAAAUUGUUGUUCUUGAGUGGUUGAAAAGGGGGGGGACCCGAAAGAUCCCAGGGUUUUCUUGACAUCAAUUUGAAAAUUCCAAAUAUUUAUUCUGUUUGCUCUGUUAUUAUUUCGAAGUUGGGUAUAUAAAAUUAGGGGGGAUUUUGGAACGAGCAAGAAACGGGGUAAGAUCGAGAAACGAAAAGGGAAUCCCUACACUCUGUUUUGUUAGGGUCUGGUUCGAUCCAUCAAAAAAAAAAAAAAGAACACAUUUUUUCAUUACUACUUUAAAGUUGGGAUUUUGUGUAGAUUUCGUUUUGUUUCGAGUUUUUUUUUUAGCCGCUAGAACCCUGUCUGAAAUCUAUACUUUCGAUUACUAUAUCUCGGCGUAUUCAUUUGAAGCACAUAAAGGUUUUGUUGGUUUUCUAUUCGGCUUUUACUUUGGAGUCGAGUGUAGAUCCGCGGCUUCACGCCCCAUUUCACUGUACCAACAAAAGAAAAUGGAGUCCUAAUUUGGGACUCAUCAUCUGCCGCAUUCGGUGUUGGGCCAAAACCCAACGAAAUCUUCAUCUCGAGUCAUCCUCAACCCGCAACAUACAAAAAAAAAAAUUCUUGGGCCAUGCCCAUAUAGCAAAGAACCUAACGCCACAAGCCUUUAAAUGGGCUAGGCCCAUCUAUUUUCUCUACUCUAUUCCCUUUUUUUUUUGUAUAUUUGACUUGCACAGUAUGACUAACAUUUUUUUGUUUUUUUAAUUUAGAUGAACUUUAGCAAAUUAGUGAAGUUUAGUUUAAAUAAUGGGUAGUUAAUUCAAAGAGCUUCAUUAGUUUAUGUCGAAAUUAUUUAUUAUCCAUAAUAUUUAUCUUUUAGAAUAAUUGAUUUUCAAAGUA